UAUUGAUGCCUUUAUGCUGUGUAAAAAGUUUGAGUCAAUUUGGACUGCAAUUUUUCAAGGUACCUUACAAGAUGAUUUAUUGGCGAAGAAUUGAUAUUGGCAAUUGGCGAUUCUAUGAAGAAAUCACCAAUAUAAAAUCGACCAUUUUGUUUUAAUCUGAGCAUGCUCAGUCACCAGUACGUCAAGAAGAUCCACCAGUACAUCAAGGAGGAGAUCCACUAUUGCAUCAAGGACGACAAGGAGAUCUACCAGUCCCAGCAGAUCCACCCGUUCAAGUCCCACAACAAGUCCAAGAAGACCCAUUGAACAGACUAGAGUUAAGUAUACCAAGUAUUCCUACAAAUUUGCAUCUUGUCUUGACUGAGCCAGUUCCUCCUUUAUCUUCACCAGUUAGUGCCAAUCCUCCAACACUGAGUAAUAUUUUUGAGAACUUUGGUUUCAAUAUUAAUUCACAAACCAAUGACCCCAGCAUUUUAAUACAAAAUAACUCGGUUACUUAUUCCUCUACUGGUGAUGGAUCUGACUGUCCUCUUAUGAAACAUGAUCAUGCUCCUGUGGCAUCCUCAUACCGAUUUACACCUUCACAGAGCACAGAAGAGGAAAAGUUUAAGAAACUUGAAGAAGUUAAAGCUGGUAGUGAGCCUUUUAUAUUUGUAUAUAGCCGGAGAAGUAACAAAUAAAGUAUAAAAUGUAUUCAAUGGCUUCAUCAUCUAUAUAGAUUUAUAAAAUAUUUCAAAUUGUGCAU